GGUCCCGUAGUUCAAUGGAUAGAAUAGGAGUUUCCUAAACUCUAGAUGUGAGUUCGAUUCUCGCCGGGACCA
rnacentral:tRNA from 1 species